rnacentral:rRNA from 1 species
UACGUAGGGGGCAAGCGUUAUCCGGAUUUACUGGGUGUAAAGGGAGCGUAGGCGGCGGGGCAAGCCUGAUGUGAAAGCCCGGGGCUCAACCCCGGGACUGCAUUGGGAACUGCCCUGCUGGAGUGCCGGAGGGGCAGGCGGAAUUCCUAGUGUAGCGGUGAAAUGCGUAGAUAUUAGGAGGAACACCAGUGGCGAAGGCGGCCUGCUGGACGACAACUGACGGUGAGGCGCGAAAGCGUGGGGAGCAAACAGG